GAACUCAAAGGAGACUGCCAGUGAUAAACUGGAGGAAGGUGGGGAUGACGUCAAGUCAUCAUGGCCCUUACGACCAGGGCUACACACGUGCUACAAUGGCGCAUACAAAGAGAAGCGACCUCGCGAGAGCAAGCGGACCUCAUAAAGUGCGUCGUAGUCCGGAUUGGAGUCUGCAACUCGACUCCAUGAAGUCGGAAUCGCUAGUAAUCGUGGAUCAGAAUGCCACGGUGAAUACGUUCCCGGGCCUUGUACACACCGCCCGUCACACCAUGGGAGUGGGUUGCAAAAGAAGUAGGUAGCUUAACCUUCGGGAGGGCGCUUACCACUUUGUGAUUCAUGACUGGGGUGAAGUCGUAACAAGGUAACCGUAGGGGAACCUGC
rnacentral:rRNA from 11 species